rnacentral:tRNA from 1 species
AAAGGGAGACCUAAUUCAGGUAAAAGACGAAAAAAAAGUAGUCGCUACCAAGAAUCAAUCCCAAAAGGUCGGAGCGAGGCGAAAUUGGCUUUCAAACUAGGUUCUGGGUUCAAACAAGACCUGAAUCAGGAACAAGGGCUAUUAGCUAAGGUGGUUAGAGCGCACCCCUGAUAAGGGUGAGGUCCCUGGUUCGAGUCCAGGAUGGCCCACCUGCACAGGUGGCAAAAACAAGAGAAGCGAGGAAUCAGCACCUUAUCUUACUUAUAUAGUAAGAGAGAAUGCUGGCUCUGAGUAAAGAGUCCAGAGGAACCUUGAAAACUGCAUAGAGCUAGGUGAAAAAGCCAAAAAAGAAGACCGCAAG